rnacentral:tRNA from 1 species
GUCAGGAUGGCCGAGCGGUCUAAGGCGCCAGACUCAAGGAUCAAUCCUUCCCCGGCAGGUUAAUGGGUGUUCUGGUCUCCAGAUGGAGGCGUGGGUUCAAAUCCCACUCCUGACA